UAGUAACGGCGAGUGAAGCGGGAUGAGCUCAAGCUUAAAAUCUCCGACACGAAUUGAGUUUUGUGCGGCGAAUUGUAGUCUAUAGAGGCGUGGUCAGUGUAAACACUUGGGUUAAGUUCCUUGAAAAAGGACAGCAAUGAGGGUGAUACUCCCGUUCAUACUUAAGUUGUUUAUGCGUACGACCCGUUUUCUUUGAGUCGCGUUGUUUGAGAAUGCAGCGCAAAGUAGGUGGUAAAUUCCAUCUAAAGCUAAAUAUUGGUGCGAGACCGAUAGCGAACAAGUACCGUGAGGGAAAGAUGAAAAGAACUUUGAAAAGAGAGUUAAAGAGUACCUGAAACUGCUGAAAGGGAACCGAAUCGUUUCUAGUGUCUAUAAUCUGUGACAUAUUUCAUUGGGGAGUGUGUGCGUGUGUAUACCAUGGCAGUGGCUAAUUUAUUGGCUGCGCUAGGUGUGCGUGCUGUAUGUGCUUACUGGUGCCCUGUGUUACGGUGGGACGUCAAAGUAGGUUUGUAUGCUGCGGGAAAUGGCUACUGAGGAGGUAGGGCUUACGCUUGCGUUUGUCUGUUAUAUCUUGGUGGUUGUGUCGUGGUUGAGACUGAGGUGUUCUAUAACGUGCUUUUGAGUGGGUCUGAUUCUCCGUGUGUACCGUGUGCAGAUAGCUUGCUAUGUGUGUGUGGUUAUAUGUGGAUUGAGUCGGACUUUAACUUGUUGCCGUC
rnacentral:rRNA from 1 species